GCAGCUUUAGCUCACUUGGGAGAGCGCCAGACUGAAGUUACUCGGUCUAGGACCAUUUCAAGCUGUUGGUAUGGUCCACGCAUUCUGUGCGGUAUCUGGAGGUACUGUGUUCGAUCCACAGAAGCUGCA